rnacentral:rRNA from 1 species
CAAUAGCGUAUAUUAAAGUUGUUGCGGUUAAAAAGCUCGUAGUUGGAUUUCUGUUGAGAACGUCCGGUCCGCACUAUGUGCGUGUAUCUGGUUCGGUCUUGGCAUCCUCUUGAGGAACGUAUCUGCGCUUGAUUGCGUGGAGCGGUAUUCAAGACUUUUACUUUGAGGAAAUUAGAGUGUUCACGGCAGGCAAGCGCCUUGAAUACGUUAGCAUGGAAUAAUAAUAUAGGAUCUUGGUUCUAUUUUGUUGGUUUCUAGGGCUAAGGUAAUGAUUAAUAGGGAUAAUUGGGGGCAUUUGUAUUAACGCGUCAGAGGUGGAAUUCUUGGAUUGCGUUACGACAAACUACUGCGAAAGCAUUUGCCAAGGAUGUUUNCAUUG